UAGCUUUGAUGGAUUAAUGUAGUUUUUAAUGGAAAUAAAAGUGAGUCGCUUAGUCCUGUGACUCCAUGGACUGACUGUAACCUGCCAGGCUCCUCUGCCCAUGGGAUUUUCCAGGCAAGAAUACUGGAGUGGUAGCCAUUUCCUUUUCCAGGUAGAUCUUCCCGACCCAGGGAUUGAACCUGGGUCUCCCACAUUGCAGAUUCUUUACCAUCUUUAGAGCCACCAGGGAAGCUUAAAUUACUUAAUGGAAAUAAUUAAGAACAAACCUUCAACAGAUGGAGGCUCAUUGCAUUUUUUAUUAUUAACUUGUCCAAGAUUCUUAGCUGGACCUCAAGGGCAUCAAUCACCCCACCAGCCCUGUCUCCUUCCUGGAUUCUUCAAGCUCUUUUUGGAAGUCUAGUCCUGGAGAGAACACCCUCCCUUGAAGUGUUCAUCACACCACCGCAUCCAAUAGACUGGCUGUGCAUCGCAUCUUGGGCAUCUGCCCUGGCUUGAAUCCUGCUUGACCACCCGCUUCAUCUCUCUGUGCUUCAGUCUCCUCAGAGGCUAACUGCCGGCGAUCACAGCAUUGACUGGAGGACUAAAUGAGAAAACCAUCCAAAUACUGCCUGUGACUUGGCCUGGUCGCUUACAGAAGAGUAUGCAUGGCCUCUUGAAUGCUGCAAGCAGACUGCCAUUUGAAUUAAGAGUUCUAUACCAUGUGUUCUCCUGGUUCUGAAAUCAGUGUCGGCAAGGAGGAACAACUGAACCACCCAUCUCACUGCACGCUACCCACAGAAGGUUCAGUUUCCUAAGAGCUCUACUUGAAGGGCUCACCUCACCCAGCUCCUUCAAAUGCCCAGACCUCGACAGAGGCUCCUGUGAGGUUAAGCCUGCAAGCAGAACCAGUCCAUGAGGGGCUGUGUCCACUCUGCUUCCUGACUGCCUAUCACUAUCACUCAAAUGAAGCAAAAAGGGCUUCUUCAAGGGACCAGGGAUAUCAUGAGCACAGCCUGUCAAUCCUCUCAACACCCC
ensembl:lncRNA